UUUCUUAUGUUGUCAGAGGACAGCUCUUGCUCAGGCAUUUCAAAGCCAGCAGGAGAAUGUGGAGAUCAGAAUCGCAGCAUAUCAGCAGCUCAUGUCCAAACCAGGAGAUUUUCACAAUUGUGAAGACAACUUUGAGCAAUGAGAAGUCUAGUCAAGGUACUGAUCAAAUAGUAUUUAUUAUUACUAACUAAAAUGUGCUACAUUAUUUCAACACUCUUAGAAAAUGUUUAAAAUUCAGAUACUUUUGAUAUGGAUAGAUGAAUAUUCUUAAAGGGUUAGUUCACCCAAAAAAGAAAAUUGGGCUGUGUUUUACUCAUGCCCAUGACAUCCUAAGUGUAUAUGACUUUCUCCUUUCAGACGAAUCCAGUCUGAGUUAUAUUAAAAAUGGUCUUUGAUCUUUCGAGCUCUAUCAUUGCAGUCAGCGGGUGUUGCAGUGCGUCAGUCCAAAAGAAGUUAAAUAAAAAGCGCCCAUCCAUAAAAAAAGUGUCUCACAUGGCUCCGGGGGGUGAACAAAGGCCUCCUGUGGCUAAUCGAUGCGUUUUUGUAAGAAAAUUAUCCAUAUUCAAAAUGUAAUAAUCACUUUACUCUAGGUUGCGCUCACUGUUUUAAAUGGAAGCAGCUCCGGGCUGAUGACGUAUGAGUUCAGUGUUGCGCAAAGGCCAUUGAGUCUCGUGAAAACCAACGUUUGUUUACAGGAUCAAAGGAAGCAAAGUUACCUUACUUUAGCAAAGGAAAACCAGUCUCCUCUUGGCUGAUAUUGAAAUCCUCUGACAUUCUUCUUUACAAAUCCUAGUUUUGUACUUCUAAUUAGUGACCGUUGUUUUGUUUUGACCUCUCCACUGCAUUUCUGCAUGCGUCACUUCUGAGUGACGCAUGCGCAAAGCCGACCUCCAUACGUCAUCCACUCGACCUUGCCUUUAUGACCUGUGAUGACCUCCAUGCACAUCAGAGAAAGCUGUCACUUAUUACAGCUGGUGUUGUUGUCAAGUGGUUAAAGGGUCAGGAUAUUAAAAUCAGCCAAAGGCCAAUUAUUCUGGCAGAGGAACUGGUUUUGCCAUCUCUUUCUGGAUUACCCAUGAGGCUAAACAUCAACAUGUCCACUCUGUUCUCCCUCAAACUUACAGGCAUCGCUAACUACAACAAUUGGUUGCAUUUCUCAAUGGCUGGCUAUGUCAAACCAAAGUAUGUCUGAUGAAGUUUUAAAAACGUGAUGUCAGGUUGAAGUCAUGAUGACAAGUCAUCUCCUGUUUGUGCUUUUACACAGUGCAAUGGUCACCAUCUCUGUGAGCUGGAGUGGAUGGAGCCUUUGGUCUUGUGGGAUUUUUGUGAAUGUUUAGCAUAUUUUUCCAUCUUUUUUUAACACAGCGCAGAUUGAUGAAUUAAACAACCAACAUUCAGGCAGAAUCAAACUACUGAUAGACAACAUCCACCAUUAUUUUAUCAAGGUAAGUGAGAAGAACAUUUGCUUUUUUUAUGAUCAAUUUCAAAGUCUCAAGAAGAGCUAUUGUGCUAUGUUAUUUAAGAUAUUGCCUUAUUCAAGAACAUGGUUCAUUAAAUCAUUCACAAUUGUGCCUAAGGGACUACUGGAGACAGUGAAUCUUCCUUCAGAGACGAAAGCCCACAUUAAUCUUGAUGCCAAAGUAGUAGCAGAUGGGCAUCCAUUCUCCCUCUCAGUCAACACCACACAUGCUCGCAGCAGGAGGUUCAUAAUACAGGCUUUGCCUAAAAAUGUCUUCAUUAAAGAUGCAUCGCUCUCAGGCAAGUCUUAGCUAAUACUUUUUUAACGGUUCCAUAAGUACUUUUUC
ensembl:lncRNA